UGGGGAAUUUUGGACAAUGGGCGAAAGCCUGAUCCAGCAAUGCCGCGUGUGUGAAGAAGGCCUUCGGGUUGUAAAGCACUUUUGUCCGGAAAGAAAUCCUUGGCUCUAAUACAGUCGGGGGAUGACGGUACCGGAAGAAUAAGCACCGGCUAACUACGUGCCAGCAGCCGCGGUAAUACGUAGGGUGCAAGCGUUAAUCGGAAUUACUGGGCGUAAAGCGUGCGCAGGCGGUUUGCUAAGACCGAUGUGAAAUCCCCGGGCUCAACCUGGGAACUGCAUUGGUGACUGGCAGGCUAGAGUAUGGCAGAGGGGGGUAGAAUUCCACGUGUAGCAGUGAAAUGCGUAGAGAUGUGGAGGAAUACCGAUGGCGAAGGCAGCCCCCUGGGCCAAAUACUGACGCUCAUGCACGAAAAGCGUGGGGAGCAAAACAGGAUUAGAUACCCUGGUAGUCCACGCCCUAAAACGAUGUCAACUAGUUGUUGGGGAUUCAUUUCCUUAGUAACGUAGCUAACGCGUGAAGUUGACCGCCUGGGGAGUACGGUCGCAAGAUUAAAACUUAAAUGAAUUGACGGGGUCAUAGCUGUUUCCU
rnacentral:rRNA from 1 species